rnacentral:rRNA from 1 species
CAGUAGCCGCGGUAAUACGAAGGGUGCAAGCGUUAAUCGGAAUUACUGGGCGUAAAGCGUGCGUAGGCGGUGAGUUAAGUCUGCUGUGAAAUCCCCGGGCUCAACCUGGGAAUGGCAGUGGAUACUGGCUCGCUAGAGUGUGUCAGAGGAUGGUGGAAUUCCCGGUGUAGCGGUGAAAUGCGUAGAGAUCGGGAGGAACAUCAGUGGCGAAGGCGGCCAUCUGGGACAACACUGACGCUGAGGCACGAAAGCGUGGGGAGCAAACAGGAUUAGAUACCCCCGUAGUCCCUGUCUCUUAUAA